rnacentral:rRNA from 1 species
UGACGGGGCCGCACAAGCGGUGGAGCAUGUGGUUUAAUUCGACGCAACGCGAAGAACCUUACCAGGGCUUGACAUCCCCUGACCGCGUAUGAAAGUACGUUUUCACCCUCGGGUGACAGGGAGACAGGUGGUGCAUGGUUGUCGUCAGCUCGUGUCGUGAGAUGUUGGGUUAAGUCCCGCAACGAGCGCAACCCCUACGUUUAGUUGCUAACGCGUGAAGGCGAGCACUCUAGACGAACUGCCGUUGACAAAACGGAGGAAGGUGGGGAUGACGUCAAAUCAUCAUGCCCCUUAUGUUCUGGGCUACACACGUGCUACAAUGGCCGGUACAGACGGACGCAAAGCCGCGAGGUGGAGCAAAUCCUAAAAAGCCGGUCUCAGUUCGGAUUGCAGGCUGCAAUUCGCCUGCAUGAAGUCGGAAUCGCUAGUAAUCGCAGGUCAGCAUACUGCGGUGAAUACGUUCCCGGGCCUU